CCCGGAGGACGGGCCGAGAAUCAUUCGCCAACUAUUUUCUGAGACGAUCUGACCUGAUCGUUCCACCAUGGCUAGGACCAGAAGAGUCAGGCGCCGCAAUCUAAGAGGCCGGAAUGGGAUGGCGGAGAGAAGAAUAGGUGCGAGAAGCAGACGGCCCAGGCAGCGCAGGGCUAGGCGGAGAAGGAGACCUGUGAGAGGCGGCAGGAGGCAACGUCCUCGUUCGAGACGGUACUGAGUCCCCAGCUCCAGGCCAGGACCCUCCAGAAACCACCGGGACCCCCUGGCCUGUGAGAACCGGACAGAGAAGACCAAGGCCAGAUGAUCCAUCGCAAGAAUCCACCGGCCUCUAACAUCUUGCAGGGCCCACGAUUGUACUGCUUUAGGUGGAAAUAAAGUGACUGAAGCAGA